GCACAUAUUUAGCACAUAUACUAAAAUUGGAACGAUACAGAGUAGAUUAGCAUGGCCCCUGCUCAAGGAUAACACGCAACUUCAUGAAGAAAUUGUCUCUCUC